rnacentral:lncRNA from 1 species
AAAAAAACCUUCAUCUUUGUAUUCCUUGAUUCCUACAUGAUUAACUUAAAACAAGACAACAAAAUCACAAUACAAAGCUUCGAAGGCAGGGAAUAGUAAAAUACUAUAAACAGCCAUCUCUUGUUUAAUUCGAAGAGUUCUAUCUCUCUCCAUUACUGCCCCAUACAACCAAACUAUGACUCUUUUCCUUCUAGCAAGAUAAAAACAUUAUUUGAUGAUAAUAUAAGACUAAGCUACUCUUUUCUAUUUAAUAAGUUUUAACCAGCUUUUCUUCAAACAAGUCGUCCAA